ensembl:lncRNA
CCAGCAGCGUUGCAGUUCUUGACACACACCGGUGCCCCUGGUACCUACUACCAUACUUCGUUCAAAGGCAUUUAAAUAUUUUGUCCUGCCCAUUCACCCUCGGAACGUCACACAUACACAAUCCAUGUCUCAAUUGUCUAGAGGAUUAAAAAUCCUUCUUUAACAUGACUCCUCCCCUUCAUCUAUACUGAUUGAAGUGGAUUUAACAGGUGACAUCAAUAAGGGGUCAUAGCUUUCACCUGGAUUCACCUGGUCAGUCUGUCCUGAUAAGAACAGGUUUUCUUAAUGUUUUGUCCACUCACUGUAUAGAUGUGCUAUAUUCAAAGCAGGUUGUAGAUUAGCCUAUAGGGGCUCGGUCUCUCCUACACAUGUUCCAAACAUCCGCUUUAUUUAACCAUGUGACCUCCAUCAUACUGUUAGACAUUACAUGGUUGGUUAGCAGGUUUUAGUUUAAAACACUACACACAACAAACCCUGGAACAGAUCCAUUCAAAUCCUCCCUCUGUGUCACAAAUGGCAUCCUUUCCCCUGUAUAGUGCACUACUUAAGGGAUAGGGUUCAACCCAUAGGGCUCUGGUCAAAUGAAGUUUACAAUAUAGGGUUCAACCCAUAGGGCUCUGGUCAAAUGAAGUGCACUAUAUAGGGCUCUGGUCAAAUGAAGUGCACUAUAUAGGGUUCAACCCAUAGGGCUCUGGUCAAAUGAAGUGUACUAUAUAUGGUUCAACCCAUAGGGCUCUGGUCAAAUGAAGUGUACUAUAUAUGGUUCAACCCAUAGGGCUCUGAUCAAAUGAAGUGUACUAUAUAGGGCUCUGGUCAAAUGAAGUGCACUAUAUAGGGCUCUGGUCAAAUGAAGUGCACUAUAUAGGGCUCAACCCAUAGGGUUCUGGUCAAAUGAAGUGCACUAUAUAGGGUUCUGGUCAAAUGAAGUGCACUAUAUAGGGCUCAACCCAUAGGGCUCUGGUCAAAUGAAGUGCACUAUAUAGGGCUCUGGUCAAAUGAAGUGCACUAUAUAGGGUUCAACCCAUAGGGCUCUGGUCAAAUGAAGUGUACUAUAUAGGGCUCAACCCAUAGGGCUCUGGUCAAAUGAUGUGCACUAUAUAGGGCUCUGGUCAAAUGAAGUGUACUAUAUAGGGCUCUGGUCAAAUGAAGUGUACUAUAUAGGGCUCAACCCAUAGGGCUCUGGUCAAAUGAAGUGCACUAUAUAGGGCUCUGGUCAAAUGAAGUGUACUAUAUAGGGCUCUGGUCAAAUGAAGUGCACUAUAUAGGGCUCAACCCAUAGGACUCUGGUCAAAUGAAGUGCACUAUAUAGGGCUCUGGUCAAAUUAAGUGUACUAUAUAGGGUUCAACCCAUAGGGCCCUGGUCAAAUGAAGUGUACUAUAUAGGGCUCAACCCAUAGGGCCCUGGUCAAAUGAAGUGUACUAUAUAGGGUUCAACCCAUAGGGCUCUGGUCAAAUGAAGUGUACUAUAUAGGGCUCUGGUCAAAUGAAGUGUACUUUAUAGGGCUCAACCCAUAGGGCUCUGGUCAAAUGAAGGGCACUAUAUAGGGGAUAGGGUACCAUUUGGGAUGUAAAUUAGGUAUACUUUUGACAUGUUGCUAUUAGCAACAACUCCACUGAUGUACAGUCCAUGUAUGGUCAGAUCUUUAGAGUUAGAGCAGGAAACCUACUUAGAGGCUACUUGUCCCCUUCAUAAGCAAUACUUAAGGGCCUACGUCAUCCCUGUGGAGGAUCCAAAGCCCAAGCCCAGAUUAACGGGUCUGUAUGGGUCGGAUCGUUUCAAAUACUUGCUGGAAGGGCGUGGGGUUGUUGUGAUUGGGUCAGUACAUGUCAUAUUGGACAAGACUCAAGAUGAUGCUUUUACCUAUGAAGCCCUCAUGCACUGCUUAUGAAGGUGCUAUACACUGCUUAUGAAGGUGCUAUACACUGCUUAUGAAGGUGCUAUACACUGCUUAUAUUACCACCAACGAUAAUAACAUCAUCCUCAGUCUUUCAUCAAUAUUUACAAACUCGUGAUCUGUUAAAUAAUGUCAAUAACAACAACACAGUAAAACCAAAAACACAGACUAAAUUCAAAACAUCAGCCGCUCAGUAAAAAAAGCACUUCGUAAAAAUCUGAGAAACUAAAUUAAAAUUCAUCCCCAGUCUGAUUCUGACAAACACAAAGUUAAACACAUCAGUGUCCUUCAAUCCCAGUCCUGGAAACACACAGGGUGUGCAGGGUUUUGUGCCAGCCUAACACACCUCAAUCAACUUAUCAAAAGGGCUUGAUGAUUGGACGAUUGAUGGAACCAGGAUGAAAGAAAAGUGAAAUAAACAAUAUCUUGAUAUACAUUUCAACAUAUGAAUCAUCUCUAUUGACGAGAAGAGAAGGUAUAUGGAGAUGCAAAUGAAAUGAAGAUUGACUGGUCCACCGUUCACUAUCCUGACCAGGGUUCUGAUCACUUCCCCCACAUAGAUGCUGCUUUCACUGGGGGUGUCUGUUCUCUGGUCCAG